rnacentral:rRNA from 1 species
UACGGGGGAUGCAAGCGUUAUCCGGAUUUAUUGGGUUUAAAGGGUGCGUAGGCGGCCUUUUAAGUCAGCGGUGAAAGUCUGUGGCUCAACCAUAGAAUUGCCGUUGAAACUGGGGGGCUUGAGUAUGUUUGAGGCAGGCGGAAUGCGCGGUGUAGCGGUGAAAUGCAUAGAUAUCGCGCAGAACCCCGAUUGCGAAGGCAGCCUGCCGGCCCCACACUGACGCUGAGGCACGAAAGCGUGGGUAUCGAACAGG